rnacentral:lncRNA from 1 species
AACUCAUAUUAUGUCUAUGUGAAAAGCAUGAUGAUUUCCUAUCAGCAAAACAAAGGGAAGUUUAAACCUCAGGAAGUGGAAAAGCACAGGGAAAGUUAGUGAAGGGUUCGGAAAGUAUACUAGAAACAUCAAGGAUAGGAUGAUUUCAGGAAGUGCUUAGUGCUUGUUCUUAAUACUAAUGGUUGCAUUCUGAAAUUCAGAAAAGGAAGCUGAGAGGUGUUGAAAAUGUUUCACAUUGUGUUCUAGCAGAUGGUUAAGUAGCAUUAUUUUGUUAACUCAUUCAUCUAAAGCUUUUUUCAUCUGUAUUAAAAUUGUCCCAAAGGGAAAAAGUAGUUUCAGAAAUGUUUGUGAUCUUUUAUUUUAGGGGGAAAAAUCCAUUUUCUAUGAUUUCUGUCAAGUGCAAAAACCUAUUCAAGGGAAUUAGCUGUGAUAAUUCACUGCUUUGAAUUCAUUCCUUUUGCAGUAUUACUUCCCACACUUUCAUUUUAUCUCAUUCAGUCCAUGUGUCUUUAUCUUGAAGUUGCAUGAUCAAAAAUCCAGACAAAUUAUAUAUAUUCAAGGUGUAUAUAUAUAUGUAUAUAUAUAUAUGCACACACACACAUACACACACAUAUGUGUGUGUGUAUAUAUAUGUGUGCAUAUAUAUACACACACACACACACAUAUGUGUGUGUAUGUCUGUGUGUAUGUACAUGUAUGUAUGUAUGCAUGUAUAUUUAGAUUCUGUGUAUCACGAAUAACAAAAGUCUAUGUAAAAUGUAACAUCUGAAUACCUACUUAAAAAAUUAUUAUAGUUGACUUACAUUAUUGUCAGUUUCUGCUGUACAGCAAAGUGACCCAGUCAUAUAUAUAUACACACAUAUAUAUAUAUACUUUUUCUCAUAUUAUCUUUCAUCAUGUUCUCUCACCAGUGAUUAGAUAUAGUUCCCUGUGGUAUAGAGCAGGACUUCAUUGCUUAUCCAUUCUAAAUGCAAUAGUUCACAUCUAUUAACCCCAAACUCCAAGUCCAUCCCACUCCCGCCUCCUCCCCCUUGGCAACCACAAGUCUGUUCUUCAUGUCUGUAAGUCUGUUUCUGUUCUAUAGAUAGAUUCAUCUGUGCCCUGUUUUAUUUUUUUUUAAAUGAUUUUUAUUUUUUCCAUUAUAGUUGGUUUACAGUGGUCUGUCAGUUUUCUACUGUACAGCAAAGUGACACAGUCACACAUAUAUAUACAUUCUCUUUCUCACAUUAUCCUCCAUCAUGUUCCAUCACAAGGAACUAUGUCCAAACACCUCUGAUGGAACAUGAUGGAAGAUGAUAUGAGAAGGGGAAUGUAUAUGUAUGUAUGACUAGGUCUCUUUGCUGUACAAUAGAAAUUGACAAAACAUUGUAAAUCAACUAUAAUGAUUUUUUUAAAAAAAGCAAUACACAAUGAGAUCUUGCUGUGUAGCAUUGAGAAUUAUGUCUAGAUACUUACAUUGCAACACGACAAUGGGAGGAAAAAUUACCCAUACAUGUAUGUGUAACCUGGUACCCCUGCUGUACAGUGGAAAAAAAAUUUUAAAAAAAGCAGAACAACUUUGGCAAAAGUGUUUGCAUACACAUUCAAUCUCACCUUUUAAACAUCAUUAUUGUGUAGUUGGACCAUAGCCUGAGAGGUCAGAUGAGCAUUCCAUUACCAUUUCUUUUCUUUUUUUUUUUCUCUCUGUAAUAUGAUUGUUCUUGAGGUACUACUAAUAUUGAGAGAAAAUAAUUUUGACAGCCGUGUUCAUAACAAACAUUAAGUGGAUCAUUGAUUCUAAAAUAGAGUGCUUGUGAAACAUAGAGGGCAUACUUACUGAUGAGUGAUCAUUAUUGAUUAGGUGUAUGGAUCUAUAUUUUUUAAACAAUUUGAUACAAUUCCACACUUCCAUGGAAAAACCGUAUUUUUUUUCAAUUUGAAGUCAUAGUUGUUGUCAUCUUAACUACUCUGCAGAUGCCCUAUGCAACACAUGAAAAUUUUCUAAGACCAUUCCUAUUCAAAACAAAGGAAAGGACUCAGACUUAUUCAUACUCUUCACCUCAAUUAAGUGGUAAAAUCAGUGAGGAUAAUGGGCCAAUUAAAUACAGGUGUUAAUCAUUCAUUUGUUAUAUGACUUAAAUUUUUAUUACAAAAAAUAGUAUAAAAUAAAAACAUCCAAGUUAUCAUCCAAAAGAGUUAAUGUGCAUAUUUAAACAUUUAUGGCAAUGUGAAAGUUGUAUUUUUUGUAGUACUUCAGCUGACAGUCUUCACUAUGCUUUCCACAUAAUACAUAGAUUUAUGAUAGCAGAAAAGCAAUGUUCUUGAAAGAAGACAGUCAAAUAGCCAACAGGUACAUGAAAAACUGCUCAACAUCACUAAGCAUCACAAAUUAAAACCACGAUGAGAUAUCAUCUUACACCUGUUAGAAUGGCUAUUAUGAAAAUGGCAAAAGAGGAGUUCCCAUUGUGGCUCCGUGGGUUAAGGACUCAAAGUUGUCUCUGAGAGGAUGUGGGUUUGAUCCCUGGCCUCACUCAGUGGGUUAGGGAUCUGGCAUUGCUGCCAGCUCUGGCAUAGGUCACAGAUGUGGCUCAGAUCUAGUGUUGCCAUGGCUGUAGUGUAGGGCUGCAGCUGCAGCUCUCAUUUCAACCCCUAGCCCAAGAACUCCCAUAUGAUGCAGGUGCAGCCCUAAAAAGGGAAAAAAAAAUGACAAGAGAUAACAAGUACUGGUGAGGAUGUGAAAGAAAGAGGACCCUCAUGCACUUUUGGUGGAAAUGUAAAUUGGUGCAGCUUCCUUAGGAUAUAGUGUACAAAUGAUGGUGUAAUGCAUGAGUAAUGUGGAAGGGUGGUCACUGUGUGUCUAGGGAUCUAAAAACAGUCUCACACUCUCUCCUUUAACUCAGUGACCACAGGGGUAAGGAAAUGAUAUUCAGCCACAGUCAGCUUUCUAAGACAGAAACUGUUGGACAGUUCAGCCUUGUUAUAUAACUUAAAGUUCCAUUGGAUGGUGUAAUUAAGAUUACUUCUCUAUAAUCAAUCUCGGAAUUGAGAUUUCUCCCAUUCACAUAUGUAGCUCUUAAAUAUGUAGCAAGACUUUUACCCUUCAAAUCUAUAUACAUAUGUAAAUACAUAUAUACAUAUGUAUAAAUAAAUAAAUACAUCUAUAUCUAUAUCUACACACACACACACACACAAGUAAAAUCACCUUUAUGUACAAAAUAAGUUCUAUCUCCCUGACAUGCCACCAGUGGUCUUUAUUACUAAUGAUAUUUAAUUUCUCUGUUCCCUUGCCACUUCCUUUGAUUGGCCUUACAUUUCAGUCGAACUGCAUAAUUUACCAUUCUCAAACUCACCUAGUUACUAUUGUGGCCAUACUUUUCUCACACUCCUUGUUCUAUCUGGCAUGCUAUUCCCUAGGUGUCUAAUCCUACCAACCAUUCAAAGCAUAGCUAAAAUGCAGCCUCCACCUGGAACUCAUGUAUUCUUUUAUAAAAAAUUUUUUUGGAGUAUAGUCAACUUAAAACAUUUUUUGUGUACAGCAAAGUGAAUCAGAUAGAUGGAUGGAUAGAUAGAUAUAGAUAUAGAUAGAUAGAUAGAUAACAAUUGUUUCUUAGAUUAUUUUCCCAUAUGGCUUAUUAGAGAAUAUGGAGUAGAUUUCCCUGUGCUAUACAGCAAGUCCUUGUUGAUUGUCUAUUUUAUAUAUAAUAGUGUGUAUGUAUUAAUCCCAAACUCCUAAUUUAUCCCUCCCCACAAUGUUUCUCCUUUGGUAACCAUAAAUUUUAUUCCAAAAUCUGUAAGACUGUUUUUGUUUUGUAAGUAAUAUCUUUUGUGUCAUCUUUAUUGGAUUCCACAUAUAAAGGAUAUCAUGAUAUCUGUCUUUGUCUGACAUGUCACUCAGUAUAAUAACCUCUAGGUCCAUACAUGUUGUUAAAAUGGCAUUAUUUCAUUCUUUUUCAUGGCUGAGUAAUAUUGUAGAUACGUACCACAUCUUCUUUAGGCAUUCCUCUGUCAAUGGACAUUUAGGUAGCUUCCGUGUCUUGGCUGUUAUAAGUAGUGCUUCAUGGAACAUCAGGGUGCAUGUAUCUUUUUGAAAUCCAGAGAAAACUGUAAUUCAGAAAUCAUCUAUUCUUCAUGAUCAAAAGGAAAUACAUCUUCUUUUCAAUGUGAGCAUGUUUAGCUUUCUCUUUUGAUUCUGUUUUCUCUUUCUGUUAUUGCGUAUCUGCAUUUGAAUUCUCUCUUUUCUGAAACUGUGAAUUUCUUCGAAUCAAGAAUGAUGUUUUUUCCCUCUUGAAAUUCCUCUUAGCAUAAAGUUUAUAUGUAUGGUAAGUAUGCAAUACAUUUUUAAAUGUAUGUCCCUUCUCUUCUGCAUUCAUUUUAUCUUAUCAAAACGACUUUUAAAUGUGAGACUUCAAAUUGUGUAGGCAAAAUGCUUUCUGACUCUGUACAUUUUAUAUGUCUAUUAAUAAAACCUAAAAUUACAUUACGGUAGCUUUAAAAUGAUUUUUGGUGGCUGCUAUGGUUUACCUUUUACUACCAAUCACAUCAUUAACCCUUAAGAGCUGCUGUAGGUAGGUUUUUUUAACACCAGCUUCUCUUUACCCAGGCAAGACAUCACUAUUUUUUUAAAUUAUUUAUUUGUACAAUUUUCAAACCCAUGCAGCAUUUUAAUGCUGUUUUUAAUUGUUGUCCCCUAUUCCAUUCUUUCAAGUUACUUUGGGAUUGUGAUCAAUUCUGCCAGUAAAUUGACAUGUUACCUCCCUUCUUGCCCCUACUCUCUCAUCCUCAGCUCCAAAUAACAUCCUCACAGGAGGAGUUCCCGUCGUGGUGCAGUGGUUAACGAAUCCGACUAGGAACCAUGAGAUUGCAGGUUCGGUCCCUGCCCUUGCUCAGUGGGUUAGCAAUCUGGCAUUGCCUUGAACUGUGGUGUAGGUUGCAGACACGGCUCGGAUCCCGUGUUGCUGUGGCUCUGGCUUAGGCCGGCGGUUACAGCUCCAAUUCAACCCCUAGCCUGGGAACCUCCAUAUGCCACAAGAGCGGCCCAAAGAAAUAGCAAAAAGACAAAAAAAAAAAAAAAA